rfam:Schistosoma margrebowiei strain Zambia genome assembly, scaffold: SMRZ_scaffold0001031
AGCUUUUCGAAUCCGUGCUGAGAUUUCGUCAGACACCAACAUACUAGGGCUGACCAGACUUCCAACAUAAGUGAAGUU